rnacentral:rRNA from 1 species
UACGAAGGGGGCUAGCGUUGCUCGGAAUCACUGGGCGUAAAGCGCACGUAGGCGGAUUGCUAAGUCAGGGGUGAAAUCCUGGAGCUCAACUCCAGAACUGCCUUUGAUACUGGCGAGCUUGAGUUCGGGAGAGGUGAGUGGAACUGCGAGUGUAGAGGUGAAAUUCGUAGAUAUUCGCAAGAACACCAGUGGCGAAGGCGGCUCACUGGCCCGAUACUGACGCUGAGGAGCGAAAG